rnacentral:rRNA from 1 species
GGAAUUCGCCCUUCGGAGAGGAGACCUGAGAAACGGCUACCACAUCCAAGGAANNCAGCNNNCGCGUAAAUUACCCAAUCCUGACACACGGAGGUAGNGACAAUAAAUAACAAUGCCGGGCCUUUAUAGGUCUGCCAAUUGGAAUGAGAACAAUUUAAAUCCCUUAUCCNAGNAUCAAUUCCAGGGCAAGUCUGGNGCCAGCACCCGCGGCAAUUCCAGCUCCAAUANCGUAUAUUAAAGUUGNUGCACUCAAAAAGCUCNUANCAUGGAUUUGUGGCGUGCGGCGC